rnacentral:lncRNA from 10 species
AGGAACCUCCAUUCUGUUUUCCACAGAGGCUUUGCAUUCCCACCAACAGCACCCAAGGGUUCCAAUUUCUCCACAUCCUUCACAGAACUUUUGGUUUUUGAUAACAACCAUCCUGACAAGUGUGAAGUGAUAUCUUAUUGUAUUUUUUUCCUUUCCUAAAUUUUUUUUAUUUUAAAUUUAAUGUUAGAGACAAGUUCUCACUAUGUUGCCCAGGCUGGUGUCAAACUCCUGAGCUCAAGUGAUCCUCCCACCUCGGCCCCACAAAGUGCUGGGAUUACAGGCAUGAGCCACCGCACCCGGCCCUUACUGUGGUUUUGAUUCACUGAUGGCUAGACAUUGAACAUUUUUUCAUAUACCUGUUGGCUAUUUGUAUGUCUUCUUUGGAGAAAAGUCUAUUCAAGUCUUUAGCCCAUUUUUAAAUUGGGCUGUUAGUUAUUUUACUAUUUAGUUGUAGGAGUUCCUUAUAUAUUUUCGAGAUUAACCUCUUAUUAGAGAUACGUUUGCAAAUAUCUUCUCCCAUUCCCUAGGUUACCUUUUUCACUGUUGAUUUUUUCCUUGCUUGUGCAGGAACAUUUUAGUUUGAGAUAAUCCCACUUGUUUUUUGUUUUUAUUGCCUGUAUUUUGGUGUCAUAUGCAUGAAAUUGCCACAACCAAUGUCAUGAAGGUUUUCCCCUAUGUUUUCUUGUAGGAACUGUAUGCUUUUCAGUCUUACUUUUAAAUCUUUAAUCCAUUUUUAGUUGAUUUUUGUGUAUGGUGUAAGAAAAGAGUCCGAUUUCAAUCUUUUGCACAUGGAUAUCCAGCUUUUCCAACACCAUGUAUUGAAGAGACUACCUUUUCCCUUUUGUGGAUUCUUGGCAACCUUGUUGAAGGGCCUUCCUUUGCUUCACCUCAUGGCUCACAUACAAGUGACCUGAGUCACUCCAUCUUCCUGA